UGCUAUAAUAAUUAAUAUAUCAUCGAAUAUAACUGGAAAAACAAUUAAACCAGGACAAAGCUAUAGUAUCCAAGGAAACAUAAAUUUCAAAAAGAAGUUGCAAUGGGGUAGGUAUAUUACAUAUAAUUAUAACACAUCAAUUCAAAAAUUACUUAAAUCUUACUUUUUUGGAUGCUAAGUAUAAUCUUUGUGACAUGAUUGUCUCAUUAACUAAUGAAUACUGUCCAUUGAAACCUGGAAUAUAUCAUGGAAAAUUUGAAGAUACAAUCCCAUCACUUGACUGGCCUGGCAAGUUUCACUUUAAAGCUAUUGCUUACAAUGAGAAUAGUGAUGAAAUAUGUUGUGGAAUGAUAGAAGUUAACAUAAAUUGA